rnacentral:misc_RNA from 1 species
GGGAUGGGCUGGCCUUAAAAGCAUUAGCUAACCUUGAUAUAACACUGGAUAAUCUACUCGGCGUAUUAAUGAUACACAGACCGCAGAGGACAUUGUUAUGUUAGGUUGCUUUCUAAUCUGGUAUUGGUGAUUCUCAGGAAUUCCAUUAAUCCAUCUCUGAAUUUGACCUCGAAUCAGGUGGGACUACCCGCUGAACUUAA